GACGAACGCUGGCGGCGUGCUUAACACAUGCAAGUCGAACGGAAAGGCCCUGCUUUUGUGGGGUGCUCGAGUGGCGAACGGGUGAGUAACACGUGAGUAACCUGCCCUUGACUUUGGGAUAACUUCAGGAAACUGGGGCUAAUACCGGAUAGGAGCUCCUGCUGCAUGGUGGGGGUUGGAAAGUUUCGGCGGUUGGGGAUGGACUCGCGGCUUAUCAGCUUGUUGGUGGGGUAGUGGCUUACCGAGGCUUUGACGGGUAGCCGGCCUGAGAGGGUGACCGGCCACAUUGGGACUGAGAUACGGCCCAGACUCCUACGGGAGGCAGCAGUGGGGAAUAUUGCACAAUGGGCGGAAGCCUGAUGCAGCAACGCCGCGUGCGGGAUGACGGCCUUCGGGUUGUAAACCGCUUUCGCCUGUGACGAAGCGUGAGCGACGGUAAUGGGUAAAGAAGCACCGGCUAACUACGUG
rnacentral:rRNA from 1 species